rnacentral:rRNA from 1 species
GACAGAGGUGCCAAGCGUUAGGCGGAAUCACUGGGCUUAAAGCGUGUGUAGGCGGCAUGGUAAGUACCUUGUGAAAUCCCAUAGCUCAACUAUGGAACUGCUUGGUAUACUGCUUUUCUUGAGCCACUUAGGGGCUACCGGAACAAAUGGUGGAGCGGUGAAAUGCGUAGAUAUCAUUUGGAACGCCAAUGGUGAAAACAGGUAGCUGGGAGUGUGCUGACGCUGAGACACGAAAGCCAGGGGAGCGAACGGG